GCGGCGGACGGGUGAGUAACACGUGGGUAACCUGCCCGUAAGACCGGGAUAACUCCGGGAAACCGGGGCUAAUACCGGAUAACACCGGGGGCCGCAUGGCUUCCGGUUGAAAGGCGGCCUUUGGCUGCCACUUACGGAUGGGCCCGCGGCGCAUUAGCUGGUUGGCGGGGUAACGGCCCACCAAGGCGACGAUGCGUAGCCGGCCUGAGAGGGUGGACGGCCACACUGGGACUGAGACACGGCCCAGACUCCUACGGGAGGCAGCAGUAGGGAAUCUUCCGCAAUGGGCGAAAGCCUGACGGAGCGACGCCGCGUGAGCGAGGAAGGCCUUCGGGUCGUAAAGCUCUGUUGUCAGGGAAGAAGGCGCGCCGUUCGAACAGGGCGGCGCGGUGACGGUACCUGACGAGGAAGCCCCGGCUAACUACGUGCCAGCAGCCGCGGUAAAAC
rnacentral:rRNA from 1 species